UUUGAUAGCAUCUAUUGUGGCACCAAUGUACUCUAUGACUCUUGAGGGAACCAAAUGAGAUUUUUUGUAAUUUACCUUGAGACCUAGGUUCCGAAGCACAUGUAGAAUAAAUUUUGUGUCUUUCAGGGCUCUGCAUCUGGACGGGGAGACCACCAACCAGUCGUCGAUGUACGGAAAAACAUGGACACCGUUUAACCUCAGCAGAUGGAUUAUAGACUCCAGCGUAACCAUACGGAACCAGCGUGGUCGAAGGAGGCUUGUAUGACUGACGUCGCUGGGAAGGCUGAGCAUGGUAAGUAGAGGUUGAAGAGGUACCUUGUGAAGACCUGGACUGAGAUUGCCCUUUAAAUUGCCUGUAUUGCUGAGAAGGUUGAUUAUAUUGGCCGGAGGGCUUCUUCCACUGAUAUCUAUUGAAUCUGGGUUGAGGUUGAAUGUAAUAGGAUUUAGCCGUCUUUUUGGCCUUGUGCAGCUCUUCAAGAUGACUGUCGUUUUUUUCAUUAAAAAGAUCCGAGGCACUGAAAGGUAAGUCCUCCACCUUGGUCUUCACAUCAUCAAGAAUAUUCGCAGACCGAAGCCAUGCGUGUCUGCGAAGAGUGACAGCAGAUACAGAAUCCUAGCAGCCGCCUCCACCGAAUGUCUG